rnacentral:lncRNA from 1 species
CAAGAAUUAAAAGAACAAAAAAUAAUCAUAAUAAUAAUAAAAUGAACUCUUAAACUCAUUAGUUGGUUGCCCAUCUGCUCAUUAAUUGGCUGACAUAAAUACUUCAAAGCAAACAAAGUUCGAAAAGCAAAUUUUGAAGCGAACAAACUUUAGAACUUUUUUACAAAUUGAAAUUUAUCAUACAUGCAUUUAGUUCUAGAACAUACUUUUACAUCUCAAAUAAUCUGCAAUAUACUUUCGUCUGCUGAGAUUUUUAUUUUUUUGGGGUACUCGAAUAUUGGACUCCAUAGAAUGUGGAUAAGCUCUGAAGCAAACUGACUUUGGCUUGCAGUAAAGAAAUGUAAUUUGCAGUCAUCUGAUACAAGGUCUCCAUGUUCAUUUCUGAGCGACCUGAAGGAAUCAUCCUCUUGAGCUGCUUAAGCCUCCUUCCAGUUAAAGAUAGUUUCACUCUUCUUUUCCUUCUCAUAUUCCUCACUCCCCUUUUUGAAAACCUUGAUAACAUUCUCAGAAUGACGCAACAAAUUAGAGAAGUAGAGAGAUGGGUACAUGGAUCAAGGGUUAGUCUAGAUGAUUUUUUUUUAUAGGCAAAUUAAAUCAGGCACAAAGUUCCCACACGUGUGCGCGCAUGCGUAAAGUGGAAAUGGAUUUAUCAUUGAAAACUCAAUCUAUUGGUAAACCAAACGAAUAAAGAUAGA